UGGGGAAUAUUGCACAAUGGGCGCAAGCCUGAUGCAGCCAUGCCGCGUGUGUGAAGAAGGCCUUCGGGUUGUAAAGCACUUUCAGCGAGGAGGAAGGUGGUGAGCUUAAUACGCUCAUCAAUUGACGUUACUCGCAGAAGAAGCACCGGCUAACUCCGUGCCAGCAGCCGCGGUAAUACGGAGGGUGCAAGCGUUAAUCGGAAUUACUGGGCGUAAAGCGCACGCAGGCGGUUUGUUAAGUCAGAUGUGAAAUCCCCGGGCUCAACCUGGGAACUGCAUUUGAAACUGGCAAGCUAGAGUCUCGUAGAGGGGGGUAGAAUUCCAGGUGUAGCGGUGAAAUGCGUAGAGAUCUGGAGGAAUACCGGUGGCGAAGGCGGCCCCCUGGACGAAGACUGACGCUCAGGUGCGAAAGCGUGGGGCAGCAAACAGGAUUAGAUACCCUGGUAGUCCACGCUGUAAACGAUGUCGAUUUGGAGGUUGUGCCCUUGAGGCGUGGCUUCCGGAGCUAACGCGUUAAAUCGACCGCCUGGGGAGUACGGCCGCAAGAUUAAAACUCAAAGGAAUUGACGGGGUCAAGCUGUUUCCUG
rnacentral:rRNA from 1 species